rnacentral:tRNA from 1 species
UUAUUAAUAGUUAAAUAGAUAAUAACACCAAAAUGCAAUUUUGAAAUUAAUUUAAGAGUUUUAAUAAA